CCUACGGGGAGCAGCAGUGGGGAAUAUUGGGCAAUGGGCGCAAGCCUGACCCAGCAACGCCGCGUGAAGGAAGAAGGCUUUCGGGUUGUAAACUUCUUUUCUCAGGGACGAAGCAAGCGACGGUACCUGAGGAAUAAGCCACUGCUAACUACGCGCCAGCAGCCGCGGUAAUACGUAGGUGGCAAGCGUUAUCCGGAUGUACUGGGUGUAAAGGGAGGGUAGGCGGGACUGCAAGUCAGAUGUGAAAACCACGGGCGCAACCUGUGGCCUGCUUUUGAAACUGUGGUUCUUGAGUGCUGGAGAGGCAGACGGAAUUCCUAGUGUAGCGGUGAAAUGCGUAGAUAUUAGGAGGAACACCAGUGGCGAAGGCGGUCUGCUGGACAGCAACUGACGUUGAGGCGCGAAAGCGUGGGGAGCAAACAGGAUUAGAUACCCUAGUAGUC
rnacentral:rRNA from 1 species